CAGGGGCCAGCGAGGUCACUGGGACAUGCUGACAGUUGACAACUGUUCUGGACACAAGGGGCUGGAGGGAAUCUGAUCCAGGCUGGGAGAGAGGAGGAAGAAAACCACAGCAAGGCUGGGCAGGCCCUGCCCGCUAGCCAAGGGCUACCUGCAAGGUUUUUCUUUUCUUUUAAUUUUAAUUAACUACUACUAUUUUCUAAAAUUCAUUUUGCAGGUGCUGACCAUGGAACCCAGGGCCUGGCGCAUGCGUGAUGGAUCUCGUCCUGCUGAGCUGCCUCCCCCAGCCCCUUGAACUUGGGUAUGUUUUUGUCU
rnacentral:lncRNA from 1 species